rnacentral:rRNA from 1 species
CGAAGCGCUUUGCCGGAACCCCUUCGGGGAGGAAGGCAUUGCUACUGAGUGGCGGACGGGUGAGUAACGCGUGGGCAACCUGCCCCAUACAGGGGGAUAACAGUUAGAAAUGACUGCUAACACCGCAUAAGCGCACAGGGCCGCAUGACCCGGUGUGAAAAACUCCGGUGGUAUGGGAUGGGCCCGCGUCUGAUUAGCCAGUUGGCGGGGUAACGGCCCACCAAAGCGACGAUCAGUAGCCGACCUGAGAGGGUGACCGGCCACAUUGGGACUGAGACACGGCCCAAACUCCUACGGGAGGCAGCAGUGGGGAAUAUUGCACAAUGGGGGGAACCCUGAUGCAGCGACGCCGCGUGAGCGAAGAAGUAUCUCGGUAUGUAAAGCUCUAUCAGCAGGGAAGAAAAAUGACGGUACCUGACUAAGAAGCCCCGGCUAACUACGUGCCAGCAGCCGCGGUAAUACGUAGGGGGCAAGCGUUAUCCGGAUUUACUGGGUGUAAAGGGAGCGCAGGCGGCGCGGCAAGUCUGAUGUGAAAGCCCGGGGCUCAACCCCGGGACUGCAUUGGAAACUGUCGCGCUCGAGUGUCGGAGAGGUAAGUGGAAUUCCUAGUGUAGCGGUGAAAUGCGUAGAUAUUAGGAGGAACACCAGUGGCGAAGGCGGCUUACUGGACGACAACUGACGCAGAGGCUCGAAAGCGUGGGGAGCAAACAGGAUUAGAUACCCUGGUAGUCCACGCCGUANACGAUGAAUACUAGGUGUCGGGGGGNACAGCCCCCCGGUGCCGCAG